GUUUAUGAACCCUAGUCACACCUCCCUGCAUGUGACUUGCACAGCCUUCCAUAAACACUUCCUGUAAAGAGAGCCCUAUUUAGGCUUUCUUUAUUGCAAGUUCUGUUUAAUUAAGAUUUUCUUAUCCCCUGCUAUGUUAAUAGCUUGCUAGACCCUGCAAGAGCCUCCUGUAUGUGAUUAAAGUUCAAUUUAGAGAUUGAGAUACAAUUAUUUAAGGUAAAUUACAUCUGUUUGAAAGUGAAACCAAUCAUAGCCAGGGGAGGUGUGGCUAGGGCAGAACUAAAGUGAUUUAACUCCUAAAUGACAGUGAAUUGAGCAGUGAAAUUGCAGGGGAAUGAUCUAUACACUAAAACUGCUUUAUUUAGCUAAAGUAAUUUAGGUGACUAUAAUGUUCCUUUAAGUAUUUUCUUAGUAUUAGCCAUACUGGGCUGGGGUAGUAGGGAAGGGCUUGCAAAGGUCUGCAGCAUUUUUUAAAAGCUGUUUCUUGAUAUACCGACACAGGAAAAAUAAAGGCAAUGCAUUAACGUUUUCAUUGUUGUGUAUCUACUAAAUAAUGAUAUUGUAAUUUUUGUUUUUAAUUGGCCAUCUUUCAAUUGGUCAUUGCUCCUCAACCACUCCAAAAAAGUGUGACAAACAAAACACUAAAGCACUAGUAAAUGUAUG